rnacentral:misc_RNA from 1 species
GAUGAAGAACGCAGCGAAAUGCGAUACUUGGUGUGAAUUGCAGAAUCCCGUGAACCAUCGAGUCUUUGAACGCAAGUUGCGCCCGAAGCCAUUAGGCCGAGGGCACGCCUGCCUGGGCGUCACACGUCGUUGCCCCCCUAUCUACUCCUUCGGGAUUGCGGGGGGCGGAUGAUGGCCUCCCGUGCGCCUCGUCGCGCGGUUGGCAUAAAUGCCAAGUCCUCGGCGACGCACGCCACGACAAUCGGUGGUUGCGAAACCUCGGUUGCCCGUCGUGUGCGGUCGUCGCGCAUCGAGGGCUCGAAAAAAUUGCCGGGCUCCGGCUCGGCUUUCAACGCGACCCCAGGUCAGGCGGGGUUACCCGCUGAAUUUAAGCAUAUCAAUAAGCGGAGGA